rnacentral:rRNA from 1 species
UACGGAGGGGGCUAGCGUUGUUCGGAAUUACUGGGCGUAAAGCGCGCGUAGGCGGACCUGCAAGUCGGGGGUGAAAGCCCGAGGCUCAACCUCGGAACUGCCUUCGAUACUGCGGGUCUCGAGUCCGGGAGAGGUGAGUGGAAUUCCUAGUGUAGAGGUGAAAUUCGUAGAGAUUGGGAAGAACACCAGUGGCGAAGGCGGCUCACUGGUCCGCAACUGACGCUGAGGUGCGAAAGCGUGGGGAGCAAACGGG